rnacentral:rRNA from 1 species
GAUGAACGCUGGCGGCGUGCCUAAUACAUGCAAGUCGAGCGAACGGACGAGAAGCUUGCUUCUCUGAUGUUAGCGGCGGACGGGUGAGUAACACGUGGAUAACCUACCUAUAAGACUGGGAUAACUUCGGGAAACCGGAGCUAAUACCGGAUAAUAUUUUGAACCGCAUGGUUCAAAAGUGAAAGACGGUCUUGCUGUCACUUAUAGAUGGAUCCGCGCUGCAUUAGCUAGUUGGUAAGGUAACGGCUUACCAAGGCAACGAUGCAUAGCCGACCUGAGAGGGUGAUCGGCCACACUGGAACUGAGACACGGUCCAGACUCCUACGGGAGGCAGCAGUAGGGAAUCUUCCGCAAUGGGCGAAAGCCUGACGGAGCAACGCCGCGUGAGUGAUGAAGGUCUUCGGAUCGUAAAACUCUGUUAUUAGGGAAGAACAUAUGUGUAAGUAACUGUGCACAUCUUGACGGUACCUAAUCAGAAAGCCACGGCUAACUACGUGCCAGCAGCCGCGGUAAUACGUAGGUGGCAAGCGUUAUCCGGAAUUAUUGGGCGUAAAGCGCGCGUAGGCGGUUUUUUAAGUCUGAUGUGAAAGCCCGCGGCUCAACCGUGGAGGGUCAUUGGAAACUGGAAAACUUGAGUGCAGAAGAGGAAAGUGGAAUUCCAUGUGUAGCGGUGAAAUGCGCAGAGAUAUGGAGGAACACCAGUGGCGAAGGCGACUUUCUGGUCUGUAACUGACGCUGAUGUGCGAAAGCGUGGGGAUCAAACAGGAUUAGAUACCCUGGUAGUCCACGCCGUAAACGAUAAGUGCUAAGUGUUAGGGGGUUUCCGCCCCUUAGUGCUGCAGCUAACGCAUUAAGCACUCCGCCUGGGGAGUACGACCGCAAGGUUGAAACUCAAAGGAAUUGACGGGGACCCGCACAAGCGGUGGAGCAUGUGGUUUAAUUCGAAGCAACGCGAAGAACCUUACCAAAUCUUGACAUCCUUUGACAACUCUAGAGAUAGAGCUUUCCCCUUCGGGGGACAAAGUGACAGGUGGUGCAUGGUUGUCGUCAGCUCGUGUCGUGAGAUGUUGGGUUAAGUCCCGCAACGAGCGCAACCCUUAAGCUUAGUUGCCAUCAUUAAGUUGGGCACUCUAAGUUGACUGCCGGUGACAAACCGGAGGAAGGUGGGGAUGACGUCAAAUCAUCAUGCCCCUUAUGAUUUGGGCUACACACGUGCUACAAUGGACAAUACAAAGGGCAGCGAAACCGUGAGGUCAAGCAAAUCCCAUAAAGUUGUUCUCAGUUCGGAUUGUAGUCUGCAACUCGACUACAUGAAGCUGGAAUCGCUAGUAAUCGUAGAUCAGCAUGCUACGGUGAAUACGUUCCCGGGUCU